rnacentral:rRNA from 1 species
GACGAACGCUGGCGGCGUGCUUAACACAUGCAAGUCGAACGGUAAGGCCCUUCGGGGUACACGAGUGGCGAACGGGUGAGUAACACGUGGGUGAUCUGCCCUGCACUUCGGGAUAAGCCUGGGAAACUGGGUCUACUACCGGAUAGGACCACUGCCUGCAUGGGUGGAGGUGGAAAGCUUUUGCGGUGUGGGAUGGGCCCGCGGCCUAUCGGCUUGUUGGUGGGGUGAUGGCCUACCAAGGCGACGGCGGGUAGCCGGCCUGAGAGGGUGACCGGCCAACCUGGGACUGGGAUCCGGCCCAGACUCCUACGGGAGGCAGCAGUGGGGAAUAUUGCACAAUGGGCGCAAGCCUGAUGCAGCGACGCCGCGUGAGGGAUGACGGCCUUCGGGUUGUAAACCUCUUUCAGCACCGACGAAGCGCAAGUGACGGUAGGUGCAGAAGAAGGACCGGCCAACUACGUGCCAGCAGCCGCCGUAA